GCUCAGAGGAGCAUCGAGUACUUUACUUUGGUCUCACGCGCGCACCGCCUUCCGUCGCUCUCUUCUUCUCCACCCUCGAUUUAGAGGAGAAAAAACGAAACGGAAAGAGGGAGUAACCCUAGGUGGUCUCUUUUCUCUCGCCGAGAGCGCCGAUGGCUGACGGCUACUGGAGGUACAGCGACGCUCGCCACCAGGCGCCGGCCGCGAUGGCUCCCACUCAGCCCCCCGUGAAGCGCCCUCGUGCCGACUACGGAGAUGUGCCCGGUGGUUCGGAAUAUGGUGGUUAUUAUCCUCGUGAAGAAGGGAGAGCAGGGCACCGUGUUAUCAGGGACACUGAAUCGAUCAGUGCAUCCUAUGAUCGUUUUUUGCGUGACGGGCAGAUCAUCUCUUAUGGUGGUGGAGAAUCCCUUAGGCCAGUAGCUAGUGGAAUGGGUGGUCAUCCUGUUGAUGAUCUGCGUAUGAUGGGUGUUGGAGGCAUGGAUGGACGAAGUGCUGGAUAUGGAAGUGGUAGACCAGAAACACCUCUGCCUCCAGAUGCAUCUUGCACAUUAUUCGUGGAGGGCCUCCCUGCGAACUGUACACGCAGGGAAGUGUCUCAUAUUUUUCGUCCUUUUGCAGGUUUUCGAGAGGUCAGACUUGUGAAUAAGGAAUCUAGACAUCCGGGAGGGGAUCCGCUUGUUCUGUGCUUUGUUGAUUUCUCCACCUCCAGUCAAGCUGCAGUUGCUUUGGAUGCUUUGCAAGGUUAUAAGUUUGAUGAGCAUGACCGAGAUUCAGCCAAUUUAAGGCUGCAAUUCGCUCGAUUUCCUGGUCCGAGGUCAGCAGGCGGACCUCGUGGCAGGCGUUGAUGUCAGGAGGAUUUUCCCUUUCCAGGUGACAGAUGCCGAUAUCUCAGUCGUUGUGUGUGCGAGCGUAAUAUUUACUUGAAGAUAGUGGCAGUGCGUUAUACUCUCGUUAUGCUGAAUUGUUGUCCAACAGUUACCAUUUUGUGAACACGGUCAGAUCAGGAGGUUCUGUUGACCAAGGGAUUGCUAGUAGAUUGCGCUUUUCAGUCUUUCGUUUGGUAGAUUUUGAACGAACCUAGCAGAUGUAGACUGAAAUUUUGUAUUGAUGCUGUGCUUUGAAGCCUUACGUGGAUUGUACGGAAUGCAUAGAAUCAUUUAGCACUGCAUAUCGAAAGGCCAUGAGUAAGGAGGUGAUAUUUUUUCUCUUAAGAAAAAGGUGAUACUUGUUUCUGCACUGAUGGAAGAUGCUGUUUUUUAUUAUGUAUUUUUCAGACCAAUUGCAAGUGAUUUUUCUGGCAAAUGUUCUUGUUGUAGAUGUUCUAAAGCUUGUAUUUAUUUUUUUUAGCAUUUAAUUUUUUAUUAUUAGAUGGGCAUUUGCUUGUAAGACUGAAAGUGGAAUGUGUAUUUAGUGGUAUGAGCGAAUACAUUUGCUACACGCCUACAAAUGAAUGUAGAUAUUGUAUUGGACGACUUUGUAGCCAAUGCCUAUGUGACCA